GACGAACGCUGGCGGCGUGCCUAAUACAUGCAAGUCGAACGCAUUUUCUUUCACCGUAGCUUGCUACACCGAAAGAAAAUGAGUGGCGAACGGGUGAGUAACACGUGGGUAACCUGCCCAUCAGCGGGGGAUAACACUUGGAAACAGGUGCUAAUACCGCAUAAUUCCAUUUACCGCAUGGUAGAUGGGUGAAAGGCGCUUUUGCGUCACUGAUGGAUGGACCCGCGGUGCAUUAGCUAGUGGGGGGGGUAACGGCCUACCAAGGCUGCGAUGCAUAGCCGACCUGGGAGGGGGGUCCGCCCCCCUGGGAACGGGACCCGGCCCAGACUCCUACGGGAAGCAGCAGUAGGGAAUCUUCGGCAAUGGGCGCAAGUCUGACCGAGUAACGCCGCGUGAGUGGAGAAGGUUUUCGGAUCGUAAAACUCUGUUGUUAGAGAAGAACAAGGAUGAGAGUGGAAAGUUCAUCCCUUGACGGUAUCUAACCAGAAAGCCACGGCUAACUACGUG
rnacentral:rRNA from 1 species